GUAGGGUGGGCAAGCGUUGUCCGGAAUUAUUGGGCGUAAAGCGCGCGCAGGCGGUCCUUUAAGUCUGAUGUGAAAGCCCACGGCUCAACCGUGGAGGGUCAUUGGAAACUGGGGGACUUGAGUACAGAAGAGGAAAGCGGAAUUCCAAGUGUAGCGGUGAAAUGCGUAGAGAUUUGGAGGAACACCAGUGGCGAGGGCGGCUUUCUGGUCUGUAACUGACGCUGAGGCGCGAAAGCGUGGGGAGCAAACAGGAUUAGAUACCCUGGUAGUCCACGCCGUAAACGAUGAGUGCUAAGUGUUAGGGGGUUUCCGCCCCUUAGUGCUGCAGCUAACGCAUUAAGCACUCCGCCUGGGGAGUACGGCCGCAAGGCUG
rnacentral:rRNA from 1 species